AUUGAACGCUGGCGGCAGGCCUAACACAUGCAAGUCGAGCGGAGCGGCGGACGGGUGAGUAAUGCCUAGGAAUCUGCCUGGUAGUGGGGGAGAACGUCCGGAAACGGGCGCUAAUACCGCAUACUAUCAGAUGAGCCUAGGUCGGAUUAGCUAGUUGGUGGGGUAAAGGCCUACCAAGGAGACGAUCCGUAACUGGUCUGAGAGGAUGAUCAGUCAAACUGGAAGUGGAACACGGUCCAGACUCCUCCGGGCUGCAGUAGUGGUGAAUAUGAGACAAUGGGCGAAAGCCUGAUCCAGCCCGUCCUCGUGUGUGAAGAAGGUCUUCGGAUUGUAAGGCACUUUAAGUUGGGAGGCGUUACCAACAGAAUAAGCACCGGCUAACUUCGUGCCAGCAGCCGCGGUAAUUC
rnacentral:rRNA from 1 species